rnacentral:rRNA from 1 species
CUUCCGUNNGGGAACCUGCGGAAGGAUCAUUACCGAGUGUAGGGWUCCUAGCGAGCCCAACCUCCCACCCGUGUUUACUGUACCUUAGUUGCUUCGGCGGGCCCGCCAUUCAUGGCCGCCGGGGGCUCUCAGCCCCGGGCCCGCGCCCGCCGGAGACACCACGAACUCUGUCUGAUCUAGUGAAGUCUGAGUUGAUUGUAUCGCAAUCAGUUAAAACUUUCAACAAUGGAUCUCUUGGUUCCGGCAUCGAUGAAGAACGCAGCGAAAUGCGAUAACUAGUGUGAAUUGCAGAAUUCCGUGAAUCAUCGAGUCUUUGAACGCACAUUGCGCCCCCUGGUAUUCCGGGGGGCAUGCCUGUCCGAGCGUCAUUGCUGCCCAUCAAGCACGGCUUGUGUGUUGGGUCGUCGUCCCCUCUCCGGGGGGGACGGGCCCCAAAGGCAGCGGCGGCACCGCGUCCGAUCCUCGAGCGUAUGGGGCUUUGUCACCCGCUCUGUAGGCCCGGCCGGCGCUUGCCGAACGCAAAUCAAUCUUUUUCCAGGUUGACCUCGGAUCAGGUAGGGAUACCCGCUGAACUUAAGCAUAUCAAUAAGCGGAGGAA